rnacentral:rRNA from 1 species
UACGGGGGGGCAAGCGUUGUUCGGAAUUACUGGGCGUAAAGGGCGUGUAGGCGGCCAACUAAGUCCGACGUGAAAUCCCCAGGCUUAACCUGGGAACUGCGUCGGAUACUGGAUGGCUUGAAUCCGGGAGAGGGAUGCAGAAUUCCAGGUGUAGCGGUGAAAUGCGUAGAUAUCUGGAGGAAUACCGGUGGCGAAGGCGGCAUCCUGGACCGGCAUUGACGCUGAAGCGCGAAAGCUAGGGGAGCAAACGGG